AACGAACGCUGGCGGCAUGCCUAACACAUGCAAGUCGAACGAGAUCUUCGGGUCUAGUGGCGCACGGGUGCGUAACGCGUGGGAAUCUGCCCUUUGGUUCGGAAUAACAGUUGGAAACGACUGCUAAUACCGGAUGAUGGCGAAAGUCCAAAGAUUUAUCGCCAGAGGAUGAGCCCGCGUAGGAUUAGCUAGUUGGUGUGGUAAAGGCGCACCAAGGCGACGAUCCUUAGCUGGUCUGAGAGGAUGAUCAGCCACACUGGGACUGAGACACGGCCCAGACUCCUACGGGAGGCAGCAGUGGGGAAUAUUGGACAAUGGGCGAAAGCCUGAUCCAGCAAUGCCGCGUGAGUGAUGAAGGCCUUAGGGUUGUAAAGCUCUUUUACCCGGGAUGAUAAUGACAGUACCGGGAGAAUAAGCUCCGGCUAACCCCGUGCCAGCCGCCGCGGUAA
rnacentral:rRNA from 1 species